rnacentral:rRNA from 1 species
GGACCUGACCGCUAUCGGAUUGAUACUAAGCCAUGCGAGUCAUUGUAGCAAUACAAGGCAUACGGCUCAGUAACGCGUAGUCAACCUAACCUAUGGACGGGAAUAACCUCGGGAAACUGAGAAUAAUGCCCGAUAGAACAUUAUGCCUGGAAUGGUUUAUGUUCCAAAUGAUUUAUCGCCGUAGGAUGGGACUGCGGCCUAUCAGUUUGUUGGUGAGGUAAUGGCCCACCAAGACUAUUACAGGUACGGGCUCUGAGAGGAGUAGCCCGGAGAUGGGUACUGAGACACGGACCCAGGCCCUAUGGGGCGCAGCAGGCGAGAAAACUUUGCGAAUGUGCGAAAGCAC